GCCAAAGCUAAAGCUCAGUAUUUACUUGAACAAGGUGGGAACCCAGAAGAAAUUCCCUGGCCAGAUUCUGAAUCAGUGUUUCAUAGCAGUUCAAGUAGUGUCUCUUCAAACACUUCUCACAAAUCAAAAGCCAUGUCUGAUAUCUCCAAGCAGUCGUCUUCCAGCACAGCACGAAGACAGUUAGCAGCAGCUGAAGUAGCCGCAUCAGAAGAAAUCAUAAAAAUAAUGAAAACUCAACAUCAAUGUGAGGAAGAAAUCAGAGAACUUGAAGUAGAAGAUGCAAAGAAACAAGCACAGUUCUUAACAGAAAGCGCAACAAUAAAAACCAAGUUAGAGGAGAAAAGAAAGGAAGUGGAACUAUUAAAGGAGAUCCAAAAGCACAAUGCAGCACAAGCAAGGCUAAGAGUCUACGCUGAAAGCGUUAAGAGUGAGGAUGAAGAAAAACCUGUUGUGCACCCCAAAAUAAAAGAUAACAGUUCCCUCCAACUACCAAGUUUUCCGAAUGUGCAUACGCAACCUUUCUUCCCGUCUAAAACCAAAAUUCCCUCAGGCUACCAAGCUCCUCUUCAAGCCUCUGUGACGCAAAUUGCAGCUCCCUCUUCUGAACAAAUGGCCUCCGCUGAACUCGUAAAGACACUCGCUGAAGCUAUCACUGCUAACAGAAUUCCAAUUCCAGAACCAACAGUAUUUACAGGCGAUCCGCUGCAGUAUAAUGACUGGAAGCUGUCAUUUCAAACUUUAGUUGACCGAAAAAACCUGCCAAUACACGAAAAGCUCUUCUUCUUGAGAAAGUAUGUUGGAGGUUCAGCAAAGAAGGCUAUUGAAGGUCACUUUUUAAUUGGAACAGACACAGCAUAUCUUGCAGCCUGGGAAACACUUGAAGAUAGAUUUGGAAAUCCCUUCGUGAUCGGCAAAGCAUAUCGAGACAAGAUUCAAAUGUGGCCAAAAGUGAUCUCUAAAGACAGUAAAGAUCUACGUGAGUUUGCAGACUUUUUGAGCAGCGUCGAAUCUGCAAUGCCAUAUGUUCAAGGCUUACAAAUACUAAAUGACUGUGUCGAGAACACAAGAAUCGCAGCAAAAUUACCAGAUUGGCUGAGUG
rnacentral:lncRNA from 1 species